UAGGCCACACUGGGUGCCAGGCUCUGCCUAC
rnacentral:piRNA from 1 species